AGAAGUGUCCUGAUCGAUGGACGAGAUUUGGAAGCAGCUGUUACUUUAAAUCCACUGAGAGGAAAACUUGGUCUGACAGCAGGAGAGACUGUCAGGAUAAAGGAGCUGAUCUGGUGAUGAUAAACAGCAAAGAGGAACAGGAAUUUCUCAAUGAACUGAACAUGAGAGGAGAGUCCUGGAUUGGUCUGAGAGCCAAACAGUCAUCAGGAGGAUCUAAAUGGGAAUGGGUGGACGGAUCAGCGCUGACACAAACGUGAGACAUUAGUUUGUUUCUAUUCCAGAGUUAUUAUUUAGAAGUGAAACAUUGAUGUUUUGGAAGAUAGAUCAGCAAUACAUGAGCUGAGCUAUUUUCCAACAGCCCCACAAACUGAAUGUAAAGAAAAGCAGAAAUCCUUCUUUGAAUGAACAGCUGUGCUUGAACUCUCUUCAUCUGCAGUCUGUGAUGACAUUCAGUUAAUUAUGAAUAACAGAGAAAACCUGAGUUUAAAUGAAGGAUUUACAGGGAAAAUGACAGGAACCAAAGAUUUUUGACUACAGACUGAAAUCAGAGAUCUUAUUAAUGUGAUACAACAUGACACAAAGUCUGUCUUUAAAACAUGUGUUUGGCUUUAAGAGAAGUGUCCUGAUCGAUGGACGAGAUUUGGAAGCAGCUGUUACUUUAAAUCCACUCAGUGGAAAAGUUGGUCUGAGAGCAGGAGCGACUGUCAGGAUAAAGGAGCUGAUCUGGUGAUGAUAAACAGCAAAGAGGAACAGGAAUUUAUCAAUGAACUGAACAUGAGAGGAGAGUCCUGGAUUGGUCUGACAGCCAACAACCCAUCAGGACGAUAUGAAUGGGAAUGGGUGGACGGAUCAGCGCUGACAGAAACGUUCUUGGCAGAAGGAUAUGCGAUUCCCAGUUAUGGUUACUAUGGAGUCUGCUGUGACAGAGAUGGGAAAUGGACACAGUCACCUGGAUAUAAUUUUGGUCAUCAUGUUUCUAAGACCUUCAUCUGUGAGAAAUGAGUUUGGUGCUUUGAUGUAAAUGUUUGAAUAAUCCAACCAAAGACACCUCACUAUGAAAUGUCCUGCAUGAGCCUCAGACUCAGCUCACAGUUGUUACUUGUUCAUUCUGCAUCAUAUAUUGAUUACAUAUAUUGUCCCUCUGUGCUCUGUGCUGUACAGUAAGGUUGGAAGUCAUUCAUCAGUCUGUUGUUCCUAAAACUACAGUAAAUGUCUUAUUUCUAACAGUUCAGCAAAAAAUAUGUUUGAUCAAUAAGAAUUCUAAAGAUUCUGAUCAGUUGGAAUAUCAGAAGGACAGUUUUAUACCUCUGUAUAUGUGAACAUAAAGAAAUGAAUCCUAAAUUUAAUUAUGUUAUGUGAGUCAUCUAUCCUAAUGAUAAAUGACUCACAUAACACAAUUAAAUUUAGUUUUAAUAUUGCAUUCAAUAUGGAAGUUGUCUUUCAAUUUUUUUGUAAGAUGCAAGAGGGAAACCAAAUAUUUCACAUAAGGUUUUCUGUGUUGAUGACUUUGUAUAGUUGUUUUUGCACUACAGCAUCAGGUCAGACCACAAGUGUGUUGUUCUUUUACAAUAAACAGCAAAAAUCAGAAAGUGUGUUUUGAUUGACAACAAUUGUGAUGACACAUUAUAACCUGUUAUUAAAGUUCUGCCCCUGCAUUGAUCAAAUGUGGGUUAUUGCUGGUUAGUUAGUGUGACUUCAUACAAACCUGUGUGUUACACCAGUGGAAGAAGCUUUUUCCUUCAUCAGUCUUCUUGUUUCUUACUAUAGGGGUGAACAGCUACACUAACACACUCUGGCUCUAUGCUGCCCCCCUGUGGUGACAGUUGUAGUCAGUGUUGGU
ensembl:lncRNA